UCUGGCGGCAAUAGCGCGGUGGUCCCACCUGACCCCAUGCCGAACUCAGCAGUGAAACGCCGUAGCGCCGAUG
rnacentral:rRNA from 1 species